GUCCUGCGGAGACAAAAGAGGGGUGUGUGGGGUGAGAGAGGUAAACAGAGAAAGAGAAGGAGGACAAAACAGAGAGAGAGACUCUUGUGGAGAGAAUGUAAAGACGACCUAAAACUGAAUUCUGGCUAUGAAGAGGGGGGAAGACCAGACUGAAAAAUACAACCCACAUGCAUGUUAAGCAGUUGGUUAUUCAACAGAACAACAGCCUUAACUGCGCGACAGCAUUUGGAGAACUGCCUGCAUUAAACAAGUCCAGCAAGAGAAGGCAAUAAACUGGGGAGAAGAGGGAAAAAAACCCUUCGGAAUGAGACAAACAUAAGCGAAACAAGACUGGACAGCAGUCAAAAGGCAGCCUGUACACAACUCUGGAGGAGUUAAACAGUCAGCCAGGCUACUUGUAAAUUCCUAAAAUCAACUGCUGGAACUGGAGCAAGGGAAAAAGGGGCAGAACAUUCAUCUCCCCUCAGGAGGCCAUCCAGAUUAGGAACAGAGCCAGCGCAUUGGUCCGAAUACGUCUACUUGUUACUGACAGCUGUGCCCAAACAAGAGAAUGGAUGCCAGACAGCAAGUACUUGACAUCCUCCAAAACAUCUGGACCAAGCUACAGACUCUCCCUGAAGCAAACUCAAUUGAGAUAGGAGGCUUCAUCAUCCUCCUCAUCUUCGUUUUGACAUUCCUGGCCUUGGUGGUGUUUGCUUGUGCACAGUGCUGCUGUAGCUGUGGACGAGGCCCGAGAAAAAACAACUCUGUCAUCUGAACUGUCUCUACAGUCCAGUCAACCAUGGAGAGAUACCAGACAAUGAAAGAGGGACAGAGAAAAGAAGGGACGGAUAGAGGUCACUACAAAAGCUUUGGGGAAAUUAGUUUUUGCACUGGGCUUUUUCACGCCUGCCCCCAUGACACAGUAAAAAUUAAAAAGAAAGAAGUAAAGUCUGAGGAGAGAGAAUGGUCUUCUCAGCUCUCUGGUGUCAACUGAAGGAACUUGAGAAUAUACAGAGUGCACUAAAACACACCCAAAAUGUGGCUUUUACUCUUUCACAUAUAUGUGAUGCUUGUGAAUAAUCUCACAAAUGUAAUCUGUACUAUAACUUUGAGGUAUGUAUGAGUGCAAUGGAUCAGGGAAGGAGCGUCAAAGCUAUGCAAGUCAACUGGAACAGGAAGUGGCGGCUCAGUGAUUAUGGCUGUGGGCUAACGACUGAAAGGUCAUGAAUUUAAAUCCUAGAAUGACCAAGCUCACCAUUGUUGGGUCCAUGAGCAAGAACCUUAACUCUCCCCUGCUCAGUUGGAUCUUCUCUCAAUUUUCACUUUAAAUAAAAGCAUCAACCAAAUGAGCAAAUGUACAAAUGAAAUAAAUUUGGGACUGUUGGGAUGAA